rnacentral:lncRNA from 1 species
GCUGUGUGCUAGAAUACACAGUGAUCAUGGUGACAUACUGAAGGACUUAGGGGACCUCAGCUCUUCAGCACAGAGUUACGAAGUCGCUAUUCGUCUUGAUCCCAAUCUCGCUCAUGCACAUCUGAAUCUCGCCGUGAUAAGGCACUUAGAGAACGACUACCCUGGCGCUUUCCGACACUACCAAGUGGCCCUGUCUCUCGAUCCAAACAACAAACUCAUCAUGGACAACAUGGCCAAAUUAAGGCGGCGAAUUACUAGGCCACUGCCGUUCCACGAGUGCGUUUAGAGUGGUUGUAUUGGCUAAAUGCAUUUACUGUGCUGCUGUUUUUUGUAUAGAGAUAAUUUUUGUUUUUACUCUACAUGUUCUGGCUGGAUUGAAACUGUACCGCUUUUUACGUCUUGCAACUCUGUCAUUGUAAACGCGGACGCCCGGUAGAGGAAAUCGAAGGGUGGUGCAUCAAUAUGAGGGCUCGUUAUGAACGAUUCUACAAUUUUUACUUCAUAUUUUACACAAGUUAAGCUUUAGAGCAUCCUGGUCAUUCACAGAGAGUUGCUAAAGCCACAUCCAAAUAUGAUACAUACUUCGCAAUUUUAUGUCACUGAUGGGAACGCUAAUAACUGUCCAAAAGUAUUCGCGGAAACCGUGUAAAAUCUGUCGGCUGCAAAUAGCCAAAAGCAGGGCCUGUUCCAUACACUCCUUCUCAUAUGUGCAUGGUGUACUUGUGAAACCACCAUACCAUGUUGCUGUGCUGUGCCAUUUUCGCAAUUUACUUGGUUUUGCAAUCGGUCUGACACACGAUUCCUAGAUAUGUUAUUGUUUAACGUACAUUUUCUACGGUCAUUUAUUUUGUGGGGAAGGAUAUUACUCUGCAAUACUUUC